rnacentral:tRNA from 1 species
GAUUUACAUAGCUAAAUUGGAUAAAGCAUCAAAUUGUUAAUUUGAGUAUUGUAGGUUCGAUUCCUACUGUAAACA